rnacentral:rRNA from 1 species
GAUGAACGCUGGCGGCGUGCUUAACACAUGCAAGUCGAACGGAACACCCUUGAAGGAGUUUUCGGACAACUGAAAGGACUGUUUAGUGGCGGACGGGUGAGUAACGCGUGAGUAACCUGCCUUGGAGUGGGGAAUAACAGUUGGAAACAGCUGCUAAUACCGCAUAAUGCAGUUGAGUCGCAUGGCUCUGACUGCCAAAGAUUUAUCGCUCUGAGAUGGACUCGCGUCUGAUUAGCUAGUUGGUGGGGCAACGGCCCACCAAGGCGACGAUCAGUAGCCGGACUGAGAGGUUGGCCGGCCACAUUGGGACUGAGACACGGCCCAG